rnacentral:rRNA from 1 species
UGCUUAACACAUGCAAGUCGAACGGAAAGGCCCAGCUUGCUGGGUACUCGAGUGGCGAACGGGUGAGUAACACGUGGGUGAUCUGCCCUGCACUCUGGGAUAAGCCUGGGAAACUGGGUCUAAUACCGGAUAUGACCAACUGUCGCAUGGAGGUUGGUGGAAAGCUUUUGCGGUGUGGGAUGGGCCCGCGCCCUAUCAGCUUGUUGGUGGGGUAAUGGCCUACCAAGGCGACGACGGGUAGCCGACCUGAGAGGGUGAUCGGCCACACUGGGACUGAGACACGGCCCAGACUCCUACGGGAGGCAGGCAGUGGGGAAUAUUGCACAAUGGGCGCAAGCCUGAUGCAGCGACGCCUGCGUGAGGGAUGACGGCCUUCGGGUUGUAAACCUCUUUCACCAGGACGAAGCGUGAGUGACGGUACCUGGAGAAGAAGCACCGGCCAACUACGUGCCAGCAGCCGCGGUAAUACGUAGGGUGCGAGCGUUGUCCGGAAUUACUGGGCGUAAAGAGCUCGUAGGCGGUUUGUCGCGUCGUCUGUGAAAUUCUGCAACUCAAUUGCAGGCGUGCAGGCGAUACGGGCAGACUUGAGUACUACAGGGGAGACUGGAAUUCCUGGUGUAGCGGUGAAAUGCGCAGAUAUCAGGAGGAACACCGGUGGCGAAGGCGGGUCUCUGGGUAGUAACUGACGCUGAGGAGCGAAAGCGUGGG